AAAUUGAAGAGUUUGAUCAUGGCUCAGAUUGAACGCUGGCGGCAGGCCUAACACAUGCAAGUCGAACGGUAGCACAGAGAGCUUGCUCUUGGGUGACGAGUGGCGGACGGGUGAGUAAUGUCUGGGAAACUGCCUGAUGGAGGGGGAUAACUACUGGAAACGGUAGCUAAUACCGCAUAACGUCGCAAGACCAAAGAGGGG
rnacentral:rRNA from 1 species